rnacentral:rRNA from 1 species
UGGGGAACCUGCCCCAUAGUCUGGGAUACCACUUGGAAACAGGUGCUAAUACCGGAUAAGAAAGCGGAUCGCAUGAUCAGCUUUUAAAAGGCGGCGUAAGCUGUCGCUAUGGGAUGGCCCCGCAGUGCAUUAGCUAGUUGGUAAGGUAAAGGCUUACCAAGGCGAUGAUGCAUAGCCGAGUUGAGAGACUGAUCGGCCACAUUGGGACUGAGACACGGCCCAAACUCCUACGGGAGGCAGCAGCC